rfam:Sclerotinia sclerotiorum 1980 scaffold_1 genomic scaffold, whole genome shotgun sequence.
GGCCUGCUGGCCCAAUGGCAAGGCGCUUGACUACGACUUCUCAGGAUUAAUAAUUCUGGGUGUACGGAAUCAAGAGAUUGCAGGUUCGAUCCCUGCGUAGGUCA